rnacentral:rRNA from 1 species
CCUACGGGCGACAGCAGUGGGGAAUAUUGCACAAUGGGGGAAACCCUGAUGCAGCGACGCCGCGUGAGUGAAGAAGUAUUUCGGUACGUAAAGCUCUAUCAGCAGGGAAGAAAAAAAGUCCUUUGGACUUUGGACGGUACCUGACCAAGAAGCCACGGCUAACUACGUGCCAGCAGCCGCGGUAAUACGUAGGGGGCAAGCGUUAUCCGGAUUUACUGGGUGUAAAGGGAGUGUAGACGGCAGCGCAAGUCGGGAGUGAAAUGCUGGGGCCUAACCCCGGAACUGCUUUGGAAACUGUGCAGCUGGAGUACAGGAGAGGUAAGCUGAAUUCCUAGUGUAGCGGUGAAAUGCGUAGAGAUUAGGAGGAACACCAGUGGCGAAGGCGGCUUACUAGACUAUAACUGACGUUGAUGCUCGAAAGCGUGGGGAGCAAACAGGAUUAGAUACCCGAGUAGUC